rnacentral:pre_miRNA from 1 species
CCAUCUAUGCUUUAAAUAUAAUUUUCUCUUAAACUACUCAUCCGAUCUACGAUCCGAUUACACCGUUGUGUUCAUAACAAUUAAAUCUUUACAACAAGAUCUCACAUGAUUAUAUUUUGGUAAAAAAUCACAAAUUACUUUUAUAAUAUAUCUAAAUUACUUUUAGAUUUCACUAAGUUACUUCUUAAACAUAUAAAAGUAAAUUCAAUAAAGUUUUAAAGUAAUUAACAUAUAUUAUAGAAGUUACUUUCUUUUUGUUUUUGUUAUAAGUUACUUCUAUAGUAUAAUGUAAAUUACUUUUAGGCUUUAUUGAAUUACUUUUAUAUAUGUCUAAGAAGUAACUUAGUGAAAUCUAAAAGUAGUUUAGAUAUAUUAUAAAAGUAAUUUAUAUUUUUUCAUCAAAAUAUAAUCAUGUGAGAUCUUAUUAUAAAGAUUUAAUUGUUAUAAACACAAUAGUGUAAUCGGAUUAUAGAUCGGAUGAGCAGUUUUAGAUAAAAUUGUAUUUGAAGUAUAGGUGGA